rnacentral:rRNA from 1 species
AUACGGAGGGUGCAAGCGUUAAGCGGAAUUACUGGGCGUAAAGCGUACGUAGGCGGUUCGUUAAGUUAGAUGUGAAAGCCCCGGGCUUAACCUGGGAACUGCAUUUAAAACUGGCGGACUAGAGUUGAGUAGAGGGGAGUGGAAUUUCAGGUGUAGCGGUGAAAUGCGUAGAGAUCUGAAGGAACACCAGUGGCGAAGGCGACUCCCUGGACUCGAACUGACGCUGAGGUACGAAAGCGUGGGUAGCAAACGGGAUUAGAAACCCUAGUAGUCC